rnacentral:rRNA from 1 species
AGAACGAACGCUGGCGGCAUGCCUAACACAUGCAAGUCGAACGAGACCUUCGGGUCUAGUGGCGCACGGGUGCGUAACGCGUGGGAAUCUACCCUUGGGUCCGGGAUAACAGUUGGAAACGACUGCUGAUACCGGAUGAUAUCUUCGGAUCAAAGAUUUAUCGCCCAGGGAUGAGCCCGCGUAGGAUUAGCUUGUUGGUGAGGUAAGAGCUCACCAAGGCGACGAUCCUUAGCUGGUCUGAGAGGAUGAUCAGCCACACUGGGACUGAGACACGGCCCAGACUCCGUACGGGAGCGAGCAGGUAGGGAAUAGUGGACAAGUGGGACAAAGCCUAGAUCC